GAGGCGAAACCCGAAAAGCCUAUAAAAGAGUAGGGG
rnacentral:ncRNA from 1 species